rnacentral:tRNA from 1 species
GCGGCAUUCGUACAGUGGUCAGUAUACGAGGCUGUGGACCUUGUGAGGGGAGUUCGAUUCUCCCAUGCCGCC